rnacentral:rRNA from 1 species
AGAGUUUGAUCCUGGCUCAGGACGAACGCUGGCGGCACGCUUAACACAUGCAAGUCGAACGAGAGAAGAGGAGCUUGCUUUUCUGAUCUAGUGGCGGACGGGUGAGUAACUCGUGAGCAAUCUGCCUUUCAGAGGGGGAUACCGAUUGGAAACGAUCGUUAAUACCGCAUAACAUAAUUGAACCGCAUGAUUUGAUUAUCAAAGAUUUAUCGCUGAAAGAUGAGCUCGCGUCUGAUUAGCUAGUUGGUAAGGUAACGGCUUACCAGGGCGACGAUCAGUAGCCGGACUGAGAGGUUGAUCGGCCACAUUGGGACUGAGACACGGCCCAGACUCCUACGGGAGGCAGCAGUGGGGAAUAUUGCACAAUGGAGGAAACUCUGAUGCAGCGAUGCCGCGUGAGGGAAGAAGGUUUUAGGAUUGUAAACCUCUGUCUUCAGGGACGAAAAAAGACGGUACCUGAGGAGGAAGCUCCGGCUAACUACGUGCAGCAGCCGCGGUAAUACGUAGGGAGCGAGCGUUGUCCGGAAUUACUGGGUGUAAAGGGAGCGUAGGCGGGAUCGCAAGUCAGAUGUGAAAACUAUGGGCUUAACCCAUAAACUGCAUUUGAAACUGUGGUUCUUGAGUGAAGUAGAGGUAAGCGGAAUUCCUAGUGUAGCGGUGAAAUGCGUAGAUAUUAGGAGGAACAUCAGUGGCGAAGGCGGCUUACUGGGCUUUAACUGACGCUGAGGCUCGAAAGCGUGGGGGGCAAACAGGAUUAGAUACCCUGGUAGUCCACGCCGUAAACGAUGAUUACUAGGUGUUGGUGGGUACGACCCAUCGGUGCCGCAGCAAACGCAAUAAGUAAUCCACCUGGGGAGUACGUUCGCAAGAAUGAAACUCAAAGGAAUUGACGGGGACCCGCACAAGCGGUGGAGCAUGUGGUUUAAUUCGAAGCAACGCGAAGAACCUUACCUGGUCUUGACAUCCCUAUGAAUAACGGGCAAUGCCGUUAGUACUUCGGUACAUAGGAGACAGGUGGUGCAUGGUUGUCGUCAGCUCGUGUCGUGAGAUGUUGGGUUAAGUCCCGCAACGAGCGCAACCCUUAUCUUUAGUAGCCAGCAGUAAGAUGGGCACUCUAGAGAGACUGCCGGGGAUAACCCGGAGGAAGGUGGGGAUGACGUCAAAUCAUCAUGCCCCUUAUGACCAGGGCUACACACGUGCUACAAUGGCGUAAACAAAGAGAAGCGAAGUCGUGAGGCAGAGCGAAUCUCAAAAAUAACGUCUCAGUUCGGAUUGUAGUCUGCAACUCGACUACAUGAAGCUGGAAUCGCUAGUAAUCGCAGAUCAGAAUGCUGCGGUGAAUACGUUCCCGGGUCUUGUACACACCGCCCGUCACACCAUGGGAGUCGGAAAUGCCCGAAGUCGGUGACCUAACCGCAAGGAAGGAGCCGCCGAAGGCAGGUCUGAUAACUGGGGUGAAGUCGUAACAAGGUA